rnacentral:rRNA from 1 species
GACGAACGCUGGCGGCGUGCUUAACACAUGCAAGUCGAACGGAAAGGCCCCUUUGGGGGUACUCGAGUGGCGAACGGGUGAGUAACACGUGAGUAACCUGCCCUUGACUUCGGGAUAACUUCAGGAAACUGGGGCUAAUACCGGAUAGGAAUCCUUGCUGCAUGGUGGGGGUUGGAAAGCUUCGGCGGUUUUGGAUGGACUCGCGGCUUAUCAGCUUGUUGGUGGGGUAGUGGCUUACCAAGGCUUUGACGGGUAGCCGGCCUGAGAGGGCGACCGGCCACAUUGGGACUGAGAUACGGCCCAGACUCCUACGGGAGGCAGCGGUGGGGAAUAUUGCACAAUGGGCGGAAGCCUGAUGCAGCAACGCCGCGUGCGGGAUGACGGCCUUCGGGUUGUAAACCGCUUUCAGCAGGGGCGAAGCUUGUGAUGACGGUACCUGCAGAAGAAGCACCGGCUAACUACGUG